GGAGUAUGGGCCGUGUCUCAGUCCCAUUGUGGCCGUUCACCCUCUCAGGUCGGCUACACAUCCUCGCCUUGGUGGGCUGUUAUCUCACCAACUAGCUAAUGUGCCGCAGGUCCAUCCAAUAGUGCUGCAAACGCAGCUUUCAAACAGAGAAGAUGCCUUCUCUGUUGUUAUCCGGUAUUAGCCAAGGUUUCCCUCGGGUAUCCCAGUCUAAAGGGCAGGUUACCUACGUGUUACUCACCCGUUCGCCGCUAGGUAGCAAGCUACCUCGCACGACUUGCAUGUAUUAGGCACGCCGCCAGCGUUCAUC
rnacentral:rRNA from 1 species